GGGUCAGUAGGUUGGUCGUGCCACCGGUACGUACUGGUCUCACUGAUUCCUCCUCCCUGAAGAACCGUAAUGCCAUUAAUUUGGUGUUGCGGGGAAACAGGACUGUUAUUUUGAAAAAAUUAGAGUGUUUAAAGCAAGCUAACGCUUGAAUACAUUAGCAUGGACUAAUGAAAUAGGACGAUCGAUCCUAUUUUGUUGGUUUCUAGGAUUGACGUA
rnacentral:rRNA from 1 species